rnacentral:rRNA from 1 species
AUGAACGCUGGCGGCGUGGAUAAGGCAUGCAAGUCGGACGAUUUCCUUUUUGAAGAAGAUGCGAUUACAUCAAGUCAACUGAUAUUUUGGAGAUAGUGGCGAACGAGCUAGUAACACCUUGGUACGUACCCAAAAGUUUGGUAUAGCUCGCCGAAAGGCGGGGUAAUCCCAAAUAAUCCCUCUAUCUAUCGGAUAGAAGGGUAAAGUCGCAAGACACUUUUGGAGCGGCCUAGGACCGAUCAGUUAGUUGGUGAGGUAAUGGCUCACCAAGACGAUGACCGGUAGGGG